rnacentral:rRNA from 1 species
AUUGAACGCUGGCGGCAUGCCUUACACAUGCAAGUCGAACGGCAGCACGGGGGCAACCCUGGUGGCGAGUGGCGAACGGGUGAGUAACGCAUCGGAAUGUACCCAGUAGUGGGGGAUAACUAGUCGAAAGACUAGCUAAUACCGCAUACGAUCUACGGAUGAAAGCGGGGGAUCGCAAGACCUCGCGCGAAUGGAGCGGCCGAUGUCAGAUUAGGUAGUUGGUGGGGUAAAGGCUCACCAAGCCAACGAUCUGUAGCUGGUCUGAGAGGACGACCAGCCACACUGGAACUGAGACACGGUCCAGACUCCUACGGGGGGCAGCAGUGGGGAAUCUUCCACAAUGGGCGAAAGCCUGAUGGAGCGACGCCGCGUGAGCGAAGAAGGCCUUCGGGUUGUAAAGCUCUGUCUGGAGGGACGAAGGAAGUGACGGUACCUCCGGAGGAGCCACGGCUAACUACGUG